rnacentral:rRNA from 1 species
GUGGGGAAUCUUCCGCAAUGGACGAAAGUCUGACGGAGCAACGCCGCGUGAGUGAUGAAGGUCUUCGGAUUGUAAAGCUCUGUUAAUCGGGACGAAAGAGCCUAGUGUGAAUAAUGCUAGGAAGUGACGGUACCGGAAUAGAAAGCCACGGCUAACUACGUGCCAGCAGCCGCGGUAAUACGUAGGUGGCAAGCGUUGUCCGGAAUUAUUGGGCGUAAAGCGCGCGCAGGCGGAUCUGCCAGUCUGUCUUAAAAGUUCGGGGCUUAACCCCGUGAUGGGAUGGCAACUACAGAUCUAGAGUAUCGGAGAGGAAAGUGGAAUUCCUAGUGUAGCGGUGAAAUGCGUAGAUAUUAGGAAGAACACCAGUGGCGAAGGCGACUUUCUGGACGAAAACUGACGCUGAGGCGCGAAAGCCAGGGGAGCGAACGGGAUUAGAAACCCUGGUAGUCC